AGCGGUAGAGGUAGAGUCGGCGCGUUUGAAGGUCGCGCGCACCGAGCGCGGCGCGAGUCGCUGCCGGCCGCGCCAGUCGCAUGCGCGGGAAUCGAAACCACUCGACGUAUGAAUUGUUACCGUCCUUCCUCCGUAUCAUACAUAUUUACUACGUAUUUACCGGCAAAACAAUAUUCUUGGCCAAUCUAAUAGUGCAUCAAAGACGCAGUAAGGACACAACGUGAACGACUUGGCAAAUCUAAUAGUGCAUCGUGACUUGCGCGGAAGUUUUAUUGGCAUAUUUGAAGUUUAUGUUCCAGGUGUAAUAUUGAGUUAACUGGGGAAUUACAUUUAAUAUGGGGAUGGAUGAGGUGUGAGAUGGUGACGUGAAACAAGGAGCAUGCGUUGGGCGACGUUGUGGUUAAUCCUGGCGGUGCUGGCGGCGCGCAGCCUCGCUCAGGUCGCCACGCCCACCGCCUGCGAAGACGAGUCUUGCCGAUGUGAUGCCUUCACUAGAGUUAUAUGCAACUGUACCAGGGACUACGAUGAGGUAACGUUGCGACCGGACGGAGCCUACAGGGUCCCGUCUACAACGACUGGAAUCAUCAUCGACGGAUGUGCCCGCGUUUACUUCCUGCCGGACAUGGCUCGUAAUCUCAUCCAGCUUCGAAACAUUGAGCUUCGAAACGUGCGUCAUGUGUACAUUCACGACAGAGCGUUAGCGUGGUCGCCAUUUUCAAGUGAAAGUGAUAUGAACCCCGGAAUCCGGAUUUUUAUACAUAACAGUACCAUUAACGAAAUAUCUUCGCAUGCCAUACAAGGAAGAGUGAAUGAUAUCAUAAUUAGUAAGAGUAAAAUAAAUGUGAUCAAGCCGUACGCGUUUUCUAGUCUCACCGGUGUAAAAAGUAUUCAAUUAAUAGAUAACUUAUACGAAAAUAUUGAAACUCAAGCUUUCAAAAAAUUCAGUACAGUCAAUUUUCUACUUCGUGGAGGCUCUAUUGGCACCUUACCGAGCAGAUUUAUGUCGGACGUAGAAGUGAUCGAUCUUUUUAGAAUAGACGGCGUAAGCAUAAGAUAUGUUUAUAGUUUAACAUUUAUUGUAAAUUCACCAAAGAAAGUAAUUAUAGAAAAUAAUAUUAUUGAUACUUUAGAAGGGGAUAGUUUUCAUAUGAAUACCAGGGGACCCAUCACUUUUAGAAAUAAUAGCGUAAGAACCCUCCGUAAGGGCGCUUUUUUUGGAUUCACCGCUGACAUAGACAUCGUUUCAGUUAUGGGUCUGCAAGAAUUGCUUAUUGAUAACAAUACGUUUACUGAGUUGACGCCGUCUUCGCUGAUAUACAAUCAGACAACCCUGACCAUGCGUAUCGAUGGCCUCAACUUGAAUACAACUUGUAGCUGUGAAUUACAAAAAGAAUGGGGUGCCGUGCUGCGAGAACAAGGAGGCACGCUAUUCUGCUGGUAUUCCCUGGAAGAACAUUUUGCCUCGAUACCGACUUACGUAAACAGUCGGUGUGGAACAUAUAAGCAAAUAUACUGGAUAUUUAUACUUGUGGGAGUCAUUUUAGUUGUACUUCUAGCGGCGAUUAUUACGUUUUGUAUAGUUAAAAAGGAAAAUGAGAAAAAGAAGAAAAUGCAAAUGGUAAUGCCAGACGGAAAAACAUAUCGAGAAACUGAGUUUCAUAUAGUAGUGGAACGAGCCGAACUUCUCACCACCGACUUGUGAACCGGAGCAUGUAUUGAGGUCAAUUGAUCUGCCGCUAGCUCCUCUACUCUAGUGAGUCUAGUGAUUAAUGAUAAAUGGACAUUUCAACAAAACAUUUGCAUAGAUAACAUAUUCUGACGACAUUUAUUUAUUUACUUAUUUAGCAUGUUAACGCUCUACCUCAAAGCGUAAGGUAAACAUUGUGCCAAUUUAGGAGAUAUAUCAAUAGUUAUAAGUAUUAUCCAACGAAUUACAUAAUAUUUUGUUGUAAAA